UACAGUCAGCUAAUCAAGCUUUUGGGCCCAUACCCCAAACAUGAAGGUUAAAGUCCUUUCUUUACUAAUG
rnacentral:tRNA from 2 species